rnacentral:rRNA from 1 species
GCGUAGGAAUCUACCUAGUAGAAGGGGAUAGCCCGGGGAAACUCGGAUUAAUACCGUAUACCUCCUUUGGGAGAAAGAGGGCCUCUCUUGAUGCUCUCGCUACUAGAUGAGCCUGCGUAAGAUUAGCUUGUUGGUGAGGUAAUGGCUCACCAAGGCUACGAUCUUUAGCUGGUCUGAGAGGACGAUCAGCCACAUUGGGACUGAGACACGGCCCAGACUCCUACGGGAGGCAGCAGUGGGGAAUAUUGGACAAUGGGCGCAAGCCUGAUCCAGCCAUACCGCGUGUGUGAAGAAGGCUCU